AUUGAACGCUGGCGGCAGGCCUAACACAUGCAAGUCGAGCGCGAAAGUUCUUCGGAAUGAGUAAAGCGGCGGACGGGAGAGUAAUACAUGGGAAUCUGCCUGGUAGUGGGGGACAACGUUUCGAAAGGAACGCUAAUACCGCAUACGCCCUACGGGGGAAAGGGGGGAGUCUUCGGACCUCUCGCUAUCAGAUGAGCCCA
rnacentral:rRNA from 1 species